GGGUAGUUCAUGCAUGGAAUAGCCUUACAGCUGUAGUGAUAGAGGUUAACACAGUAAAGGGGUUUAAGCAUACGUGGGAUAGGCAUAUGGCUAUCCUAACUAUAAGAUAAUAUCAUCUAUAAUAUCUGUUAAUAUUAACAGAGCAAGAGAUCAGGAGUUCUAAAUGAAACCAAAUUUGCAAUAAGGGGAGUGUAAACAUUAGAAGACUCUUUACAGGAAGUGUUUAGGAAGACGGUGCAAGCUGCAUGCAGGUAGGUGUGGACUAGGGCUGCAUUAACAAAAUGAUUUAACUCCUAAAUGACAGAAUUGAGCAGUUCUACAGCACGGGUAUGAUCUAUAGAACAAAACCACUCAAUUAACCUAAAGCUGCUUCAGUGCUUAUAGUGUACCUUUAAGCAUCAUCGGUAGAAUUGCAAAGCUCAUGUUGCACUGAGUGUCAUACACCCACUCUAAGCUCUGAGAGUUGCUUAGUUCAGAGGGGCUAGGUAAGAGCUGCAGUUCUAUCAGUCAGGUAGCCAAUUAUGUCCAUUGGCAACUUGGUGAUGUGGAUGCCACACAGACAAUUGGGCUCGACUCUCUUCUCUCUCUGGAGACAGAGCUGAGUCAUGGAUAGUUGUAAAUCACAAAAACU